rnacentral:tRNA from 1 species
GGAGGGUAUAGCUCAGUGGUACAGCAUGUGCUUUAGCAUGCACAAGGCUCUGGGUUCAAUCCACAGUACCUCCA